UACGUAGGGUGCGAGCGUUAAUCGGAAUUACUGGGCGUAAAGCGUGCGCAGGCGGUUUUGUAAGCCAGGUGUGAAAUCCCCGGGCUCAACCUGGGAAUGGCAUUUGGGACUGCAAGGCUGGAGUGUGGCAGAGGAGACUGGAAUUCCUGGUGUAGCAGUGAAAUGCGUAGAGAUGCGGAGGAACACCGAUGGCGAAGGCAGCCCCCUGGGCUGAUACUGACGCUGAGGCACGAAAGCGUGGGGAGCAAACAGG
rnacentral:rRNA from 1 species